rnacentral:rRNA from 1 species
UACAGAGGUCCCAAGCGUUGUUCGGAUUCACUGGGCGUAAAGGGUGCGUAGGUGGCCAGGUAAGUCUGAUGUGAAAUCUCGGAGCUUAACUCCGAAACUGCAUUGGAUACUAUCUGGCUAGAGGGUCGGAGGGGAGACUGGAAUUUUCGGUGUAGCAGUGAAAUGCGUAGAUAUCGAGAGGAACACCAGUGGCGAAGGCGAGUCUCUGGACGACUCCUGACACUCAGGCACGAAAGCUAGGGGAGCAAACAGG